rnacentral:rRNA from 1 species
UACGUAGGGGUCGAGCGUUGUCCGGAGUUACUGGGCGUAAAGCGUGCGCAGGCGGCGCACCGCGUCCGUCGUGAAAGCCCCCGGCUCAACCGGGGAGGGUCGUCGGGGACGGGUGCGCUUGAGGGUAUCAGGGGCUGGUGGAAUUCCCGGUGUAGUGGUGAAAUGCGUAGAUAUCGGGGGGAAUACCAGUGGCGAAAGCGGCACCCUAGCAUUAGCCUGACGCUGAUGUGCGAAAGCGUGGGGAGCGAACGGG